CAACACGACGAUUAGGGUUUUCAUCCUUCAAUCCAGCGAUUAGGGUUUUCAUCAUUCUUUUCCAAUCAAACAAUCCAAGAUCCAAGUAAUCGACGCUCUGCUCUUUACGGAUCUUCAUAGAUCUUCAUAUCAACGCUCGAAUUCAAGGGUUUCUAUCUAUUCGAUCUAUUUACGACUCUUACACAUCAAUGUCGUCUCCAUCAAGGGAUCUUGAGAGUUUUUGUGCUUAAUUGAUGAUGAUGAGCUUAUGAUGAUGAUGAUGAUGAUGAUGACGACGCCGCCGCCAACGAUGACACUAAGAGAAUAACAUUUGCAAGAGGUUGGAGUUGCAUAAGGAAGCCGAAGAUUUUAUUAACAGCAUGAGCUUAAGACUCUUACACACACAUGCAUUUGUGUGAAUUCACAGGCCUUGAUGUGGAAUGAAGAUUGAGGAGCAUUAUUCUGAGGUGAUGGAUAUAGUGGGCCGCCUUUUGUUGAAAUGUUUGAUAAACUGAAUGAAAGGUGUGAAGAAGGGCUAGAAGGUAUUAGCAAGUGUACACGUGGAAUACCUUACGCCUUACAUUUGAAGAAGGAUUCAAAUGAUCUUUUCGCCAGACGUUGCCGACUACUCUUUGCUAAAGCUUAUGAUAAGAAGAGAAAGAGAUGGAGUAUGCCAACAACCUGUCAGGGGUUCGGACUAGGAUGGAAAUUCAUUUGCACAACUUAAAACAUGUCCAUAAAUGAAAACUUUGUAGGCUUCUAGGAUGAAUUUUUUCAUUCCAAACGUUUGUGUCGUUAUUUCUUAGUAACACCUUCUUUUAGCACGUGGACUUAAUCUACAUUUACUUUAUACUUGAAUAGAUGAAGAAAGUCAUCAGAGUUGAGGGAUGAGGCUGCAGAUGUAAGUUUUAGUUUCUUUAUGUUUCUUUUAUCUUUUUUUUAGUUUGUAUUUGUUGGCGCCAUGAAUUGGUACCAGCUUAAUUUGGUUAUUGCUUGGUGAUUAUUUACACGUUAACAUUGGUUGAGAGAAGGUCCUUAAAUGAAAGAUGUAAUUUGAAUCUUUCUUUUACGUGUCGAAUUGUGAGUAACGGUGCUGCAGCAAGGCAGGAUCUUUGGCAGCUGUGUGGGAGUGUUUUGGGGCUGCUAAUCGUGUCUGAACAAUCAAUAGCAGCUGCGAGAAAAGAUCAUAAACAGGAGGCCAUGCUCAGGUGAUUUGGGGUACAUAGCGGGGAUGAAUCAUAGUGUACAGACUGUGGUUUCGUAAGGUUUUUUAGGGUAUGUUAAAGGUAAAGUUGCCGGAUUGUUGGGGUGUGCGGGUAAGGUCGGAGGCCAAAUCCCAAAGGUAGCCAAGCAUGAUAAGAAGAAGAAGCAACAUGGACGUGCUCAAAAGUGUAUCUAGCAUAACCGCCGUUCAUCACCGCCGGCACCAAGUGUAAGAAAUAUGUUAAAUCGGAGGGAUUUAGCACUGUUAUAACUAGAUAUGCUCCCUCGGGACUACUGGAAUGUAUUUGGAAGCUACACGUUUGUCCUUUCAAUAUAUGGAAUAAAGUACUAUUGUAACUUUUUUGUUUACAUGAUUACAUUUAAUAAAAAUAUUUUAUUUUAGUAUUUA